rnacentral:rRNA from 1 species
CAGAUGGACCCGCGGCGCAUUAGCUAGUUGGUGAGGUAACGGCUCACCAAGGCRACGAUGCGUAGCCGACCUGAGAGGGUGAUCGGCCACACUGGGACUGAGACACGGCCCAGACUCCUACGGGAGGCAGCAGUAGGGAAUCUUCCGCAAUGGACGAAAGUCUGACGGAGCAACGCCGCGUGAGUGAUGAAGGUUUUCGGAUCGUAAAACUCUGUUGUUAGGGAAGAACAAGUACCGUUCGAAUAGGGCGGUACCUUGACGGUACCUAACCAGAAAGCCACGGCUAACUACGUGCCAGCAGCCGCGGUAAUACGUAGGUGGCAAGCGUUGUCCGGAAUUAUUGGGCGUAAAGCGCGCGCAGGCGGUUUCUUAAGUCUGAUGUGAAAGCCCCCGGCUCAACCGGGGAGGGUCAUUGGAAACUGGGGAACUUGAGUGCAGAAGAGGAGAGUGGAAUUCCACGUGUAGCGGUGAAAUGCGUAGAGAUGUGGAGGAACACCAGUGGCGAAGGCGACUCUCUGGUCUGUAACUGACGCUGAGGCGCGAAAGCGUGGGGAGCGAACAGGAUUAGAUACCCUGGWGUCCACGCC